GUGCCAGCAGCCGCGGUAAUACCGGCAGCUCGAGUGAUAGCCACUAUUAUUGGGCCUAAAGCGUCCGUAGCCGGCCGAACAGGUCCGUCGGGAAAUCCACCCGCUCAACGGGUGGACGUCCGGCGGAAACCAGUCGGCUUGGGGCCGGGAGACCAGAGAGGUACGUCCGGGGUAGGAGUGAAAUCCUGUAGUCCUGGACGGACCGCCGGUAGCGAAAGCGUCUCUGGAGAACGGACCCGACGGUGAGGGACGAAAGCUUGGGUCUCGAACCGGAUUAGAAACCCGCGUAGUCC
rnacentral:rRNA from 1 species